UACGUAGGGGGCGAGCGUUGUCCGAAGUUACUGGGCGUAAAGAGCGUGUAGGCGGCUUAGUAGGUCCGCUGUGAAAACUCGAGGCUCAACCUCGAGAUGUCGGCGGAAACCACUUGGCUAGAGUCCGGAAGAGGAGAGUGGAAUUCCUGGUGUAGCGGUGAAAUGCGCAGAUAUCAGGAAGAACACCUAUGGCGAAGGCAGCUCUCUGGGACGGUACUGACGCUGAGACGCGAAAGCGUGGGGAGCGAACAGG
rnacentral:rRNA from 1 species